UUUUCCAUUGCAUUGUAUUGCCCUAUUUGUUUACAGUCUAUUUCACUGUACUAGACUAUAAACUUCUUGAGGAUAUGACCUAUAUCUCACUCAUUUCUAUCAUCUCCAAUGCCUGGCACACAAAAAGUAUUAAGAAAAUGUCUUAUGAAUAAAUAAGUGAAUGAUCAGUAUAUUAAAAGAACAUUUUAAGUAUUUAAGGCAGGGAUUGAAAACUCAAAUGCCUUCAGUGUCUAGGCAGAAGAUAAGCAGACUUGGGAGGGACUUUGAUAACCUGGAGAACACAUACUUUAUCUAAGAGGAACAGCUGCUACUAAG
rnacentral:lncRNA from 10 species